GGCAAGAUGGCCGAGCGGUUAAGGCGUGUGACUCAAGCGUACCAGCUUGCCUGGUUCAGGUUUCUCAUCUCCGUAUGGAGGCGUGGGUUCAAGUCCCACUCUUGUCA